CCUCUUCCUCUCUCCUGGUC
rnacentral:miRNA from 1 species